UCUCCCCAUACAGAGCCAUGAUGCUGGCAAUUGCUCUAACCUCAUGGAGGAGACCAAGACUUUCUCAUCGACUGAGAGUCUGCGGCAACUUUCUCAACAACUCAAAGGCCUUGUGUCUGAGUCUACAUCCUACAUCAACGGGA